rnacentral:rRNA from 1 species
GACAGAGGCCCCAAGCGUUAGGCGGAAUCACUGGGCUUAAAGCGUGUGUAGGCGGAUCGUUAAGUGUCUUGUGAAAUCCCACGGCUCACCCGUGGAACGGCUGGGCAUACUGGCGAUCUUGGGCCAACUAGGGGCAGUCGGAACAAGCGGUGGAGCGGUGAAAUGCGUAGAUAUCGCUUGGAACGCCGAAGGUGAAAACAGACUGCUGGGGUUGCGCCGACGCUGAAACACGAAAGCUAGGGGAGCAAACAGG